rnacentral:rRNA from 1 species
AACGAACGCUGGCGGCAGGCUUAACACAUGCAAGUCGAGCGCACCGCAAGGUGAGCGGCAGACGGGUGAGUAACGCGUGGGAAUCUACCCAACCCUACGGAAUAACCCAGGGAAACUUGGACUAAUACCGUAUACGCCCUUUUGGGGAAAGAUUUAUCGGGGAUGGAUGAGCCCGCGUUGGAUUAGCUAGUUGGUGGGGUAAAGGCCUACCAAGGCGACGAUCCAUAGCUGGUCUGAGAGGAUGAUCAGCCACAUUGGGACUGAGACACGGCCCAAACUCCUACGGGAGGCAGCAGUGGGGAAUAUUGGACAAUGGGCGCAAGCCUGAUCCAGCCAUGCCGCGUGAGUGAUGAAGGCCUUAGGGUUGUAAAGCUCUUUCAGUAGGGAAGAUAAUGACGGUACCUACAGAAGAAGCCCCGGCUAACUUCGUG